rnacentral:lncRNA from 1 species
GCGGCCUUCACGCCGGCGCCGGCGCCCUGCGGAAGCGGCGUUAGUGAAUCGGGGCCUUGGGGAGCCCAGGAUGGAGGUGGCGGUCGCGGCGGCGGCGGCGGCGGGCCGAGCCCUGCGGCGGGCGGGAGAUGACGAAAUGGUGGCUGACGCGUACUGAGAAGUGGCUUCUGCGCUGUCCUCUGAAGGUCGUGCUCAGUGAUAUCUGUGUGAACAGAGGCACUGGGACAAGAGCCGGGUCUAGCCGUGUCCUCCACCCGGUCGCAGAGGGCCUUCUGAGCCCCCAUCCCUCCUUGGAGGCCUGUGGUCCCUUGAGCUUGGGUCCAGCCUUGUCAUGCCAGGGAGGUGGGAGGGAAUGAGGGGGUCUGAAAGACCGAAGCGUCGGCCACAGUGCUGUCUCCAAGCUCCUGGGUCAGGUUUUUCUGUGACCCCUUUUGCCCUUGUGGCUCAGGCCAGGAGACACUUGUGAUGGUCGAAGUUGCUUGGGCUCCUGCCUGGAGCCCCAAGGCUCUCGCCUCGGCCAUCCUGCACC